rnacentral:rRNA from 1 species
GACGAACGCUGGCGGCGUGCUUAACACAUGCAAGUCGAGCGGUAAGGCCCUUUCGGGGGUACACGAGCGGCGAACGGGUGAGUAACACGUGGGUGACCUGCCCUCAGCUCUGGGAUAAGCCUGGGAAACCGGGUCUAAUACUGGAUAUGACUCCAUGACGCAUGUUGUGGGGUGGAAAGCCUUGUGCGGCUGAGGAUGGGCCCGCGGCCUAUCAGCUUGUUGGUGGGGUGANGGCCUACCAAGGCGACGACGGGUAGCCGGCCUGAGAGGGCGGCCGGCCACACUGGGACUGAGACACGGCCCAGACUCCUACGGGAGGCAGCAGUGGGGAAUCUUGCGCAAUGGGCGAAAGCCUGACGCAGCGACGCCGCGUGAGGGAUGACGGCC